GGUGAUCGUGCGGCACUGCCACGGUAGAAAAGGCUGCUCAGCAAGCGGCCAGGGGCCACAGGGAGCAGGUGGGGAACAAGGGAGAAGGGUAUGGGCGACAGAGCCCAGCAGGGGAACCCGGGGAGGGGGAACAGAUUACAGGCAGAGCCAAAGCAUCAUAGCAGGGGCACCCAUUCCCCAUACAGCAGAGUGAGAAAACAGUAUAAAGUAACCCAGAAUAACAAUAAAUCAAUGAGCAGUAUCCAGAAUCUAUCAGAUAAAUGGCCUAAAUACAGCAACAGGUGUUACCAAGUGAUACAGCAGCUACAUAG